rnacentral:rRNA from 1 species
CCUACGGGAGGCAGCAGUGGGGAAUAUUGGGCAAUGGGCGCAAGCCUGACCCAGCAACGCCGCGUGAAGGAAGAAGGCUUUCGGGUUGUAAACUUCUUUUAUCAGGGACGAAGCAAGUGACGGUACCUGAUGAAUAAGCCACGGCUAACUACGUGCCAGCAGCCGCGGUAAUACGUAGGUGGCAAGCGUUAUCCGGAUUUACUGGGUGUAAAGGGCGUGUAGGCGGGAGUGCAAGUCAGAUGUGAAAACUAUGGGCUCAACCCAUAGCCUGCAUUUGAAACUGUACUUCUUGAGUGCUGGAGAGGCAAUCGGAAUUCCGGGUGUAGCGGUGAAAUGCGUAGAUAUACGGAGGAACACCAGUGGCGAAGGCGACCUACUGGAACAUUACUGACGCUCAUGCACGAAAGCGUGGGGAGCAAACAGGAUUAGAUACCCCGGUAGUC